rnacentral:rRNA from 1 species
UACGGAGGGUGCAAGCGUUAUCCGGAUUCACUGGGUUUAAAGGGUGCGUAGGUGGGCAGGUAAGUCAGUGGUGAAAUCUCCGGGCUUAACCCGGAACUGCCGUUGAUACUAUCUGUCUUGAAUAUAGUGGAGGUGAGCGGAAUAUGUCAUGUAGCGGUGAAAUGCUUAGAUAUGACAUAGAACAUCGAUUGCGAAGGCAGCUCGCUACGCUAUUAUUGACACUGAGGCACGAAAGCGUGGGGGAUCAAACAGG